GGCGGCGUCGGCGCACUGCCCUCCCCGGAGACACCGGAGCGUUUCAGCGGCCGCUGGGAACUUGCUGACUCUUCACAUUGCGCUCAGAGGCGGGAACGGCGAGCGCGGCCGGACGCGGUGCCUCUGGCUGGCAGGGAGCGAAGGAGGGAGGAACAGAGGAACAGACGGCGGACACGCACCCCGUACUGCGGGGCGCCAAACAGUGCAGCGACUUGUUUAUCUCGCCAGUUGCCAUUCACGAAAUACAGCGGCACGUACUGCGUUGGCACUCAGAUACAGCCCAGGCGUAUUGCUCCGUCUUUCUGAUCCGGUGCAAGACUGUGCCCCUUCCGCCCGGAGAAGAUUUUUACAAAAACGCGGCGCUGCUUUGGGGUUCAGAUUUCAUCUAAGGACUUUGAGAUCACAGAAACAUUCAGGCCUCUUAAUGUUGUGUCUCGGUUAUCUCGAAGAUUUUUUUUUUUUUUUUUUAAAGCGUCACUGCAAGCUUACUUGCAUUAUGGAAGUGCCAUGCAGAAGUAACAAUAUCACACAGAAUCACGCAAUCAUUUAGGUUGGAAAAGGCCUCUGAGAUUGAAUCCAGUGUGUGUCCAAACACCAUGUCAAGUACAGACCAUGGCUCUAAGUGCCAUGUCCAUUCUUUCCCUAAAUAUCUUCAGAGAUGGUGACUCCACCACCUCUCCAGGCAGUCCCAAUGUCUAAUGACUCUGUUUGUAAAGAACAAUCCUCCUAAUGUCCAACAUAAACCUCCCGUGGUGCAGUUUGGGAUGAUCUGCUCUCAUCCUGUCACUUGUUGUCAGGGAGAAGAGGCUGACCACCCCUGCAGCUUCCUUUCAGGGAAGUAUAUAUAUAUAUAUAUAUAUAUAUAUAUGUGUGUGUAGGGAGUGUAAGGUCAACCUUGACGUGACCUUCUACAACCUGCAGGUUACAUCCCGCUCUAGAAGCAAGGGACAAUCUCCACCUUGCGUAUUCAACUUAGAUUAAUCAUGCCAGCGGCCAGUGAAUUAAGCAGAAUUAAAUUAGAGGGGAGAGUAAAAAUGGCAUCUCCCCAUAUACAGAAAUGGUCUCAGUUUAUCACCUGCUCUGCCAGCAUUACUUACCACAAUGGAAAGUUUUUCCACGUGCUGGAUGGGAGGGGUAGGGGAGGUGAUGAGAAGCUGUCAUUGCUGACAAAGCACAGGGAGGUGUCAACUGCACGAUAAGGUACGGUGCUAUAUAUGAUUUCUAGUGCAUAGCUAAGUCAUGAGGUCAUAGCCAGAAGUUUGUUUCUCAAAGAAAGGCAGGAGUGUAACCAUUUUGAGGUGGUUAUUUCUUCCAGAAGGCAAUAGAUGAUUGCCCAGAAUUUCCCUUGGGACAGGUAGCUAGCAACUGAAAUUCUCAGAAAACUUCAUCACUCAUUUACCAAAGUAAUAUUUUCCAGAGAACUGCAAGUGCUUUGCUUUGCAGUUGCAGAUGUGGAUCUUUCUGAGCAAGGCCUGAUCAUGAGCUGGCAAUUUUCCUGAACAGGAGGAAGAGCACCAUCAAUCUUUCAGUAUCAACAUUAAAGACAUUUACUAAAAUUUGAGCUAACCACUUAAAUUUUGCGAAGUGUUCACAUCUUUGGUAACCUAGAAAUCAAAACUAAAACUGAGAAAGAAAGGGGCACAGACAUAAAAAAGAAAAUUUAACUGUAGAAGGUUAUUUUACCCAGAUUUAUUCUGCCAAUUUUAAUAUAAAUGGGAAUAUUGACUACCCUGUUGUUGGUAAUAAUAAACUCUUCAAGUAGUUCCCA
ensembl:lncRNA